CAAUAGCGUAUAUUAAAGUUGUUGCAGUUAAAAAGCUCGUAGUUGGAUUUCUUGGAGGGUGCCAAUGUCCGCUACGGCGUGCGCAGCGGCGCCCUUCCAUCCUUCUGUUAACGCCUCUUGGCAUUCGUUUGCUGGUGGCGGGCUCAGAUAUUUUACCUUGAGAAAAUUAGAGUGUUUCAGGCAGGCUAGGCCGGAAUACAUUAGCAUGGAAUAAUGGAACAGGACUAUGGUCCCUUUGUUGGUUUGAGGGACUGCAGUAAUGAUUAAUAGGGACAGUUGGGGGCAUUAGUAUUUAAUUGUCAGAGGUGGAAUUCUCAGAUUUGUUAAAGACUAACUUAUGCGAAAGCAUUUGCCAAGGAUGUUUNCAUUA
rnacentral:rRNA from 1 species